rnacentral:rRNA from 1 species
AGAGUUUGAUCAUGGCUCAGAUUGAACGCUGGCGGAAUGCUUUACACAUGCAAGUCGAGCGGCAGCGCGGGGCAACCUGGCGGCGAGCGGCGAACGGGUGAGUAAUGCAUCGGAACAUGUCCAUGUCGUGGGGGAUAGCCCGGCGAAAGCCGGAUUAAUACCGCAUACGCCCGAGAGGGGAAAGCCGGGGACCGCAAGGCCUGGCGCGAUUGGGUUGGCCGAUGUCCGAUUAGCUAGUUGGCGGGGUAAGAGCCCACCAAGGCGAUGAUCGGUAGCUGGUCUGAGAGGAUGAUCAGCCACACUGGGACUGAGACACGGCCCAGACUCCUACGGGAGGCAGCAGUGGGGAAUUUUGGACAAUGGGGGAAACCCUGAUCCAGCCAUUCCGCGUGAGUGAAGAAGGCCUUCGGGUUGUAAAGCUCUUUUGUCCGGAACGAAACGGUGCUCGUGAAUAUCGAGCGCUACUGACGGUACCGGAAGAAUAAGCACCGGCUAACUACGUGCCAGCAGCCGCGGUAAUACGUAGGGUGCGAGCGUUAAUCGGAAUUACUGGGCGUAAAGCGUGCGCAGGCGGUUUUGUAAGCCAGAUGUGAAAUCCCCGGGCUUAACCUGGGAAUGGCAUUUGGGACUGCAAGGCUGGAGUGCGGCAGAGGAGACUGGAAUUCCCGGUGUAGCAGUGAAAUGCGUAGAUAUCGGGAGGAAUACCGAUGGCGAAGGCAGGUCUCUGGGCUGACACUGACGCUCAUGCACGAAAGCGUGGGGAGCAAACAGGAUUAGAUACCCUGGUAGUCCACGCCCUAAACGAUGUCGACUGGUUGUUGGGGGUUUGACACUCUCAGUAACGAAGCUAACGCGUGAAGUCGACCGCCU